AGGAUAUAUUUCUAAAUAGUUCCAAUGCUGGCAUCUCCACCACCCAUGAUUUCCUUGCCUACUGCUUCGAUACCUCCUCAUGAGAUUCCAUCCUCUUCCACUCAGCUUCCUACUGCUGCAGGCUAAAGCAGUAUGCCUCCUUCCAAGAAAAUAGAUCUUAAUGCCCAUCUUGACUCCAUUCCUGAGGAUGCAACCUUUGAUAACUAGAGGGUUAUCAAAGAGUUAACCCAGAGAUCGGUGCUCCCCAU
rnacentral:lncRNA from 1 species